rnacentral:misc_RNA from 1 species
GAGCUCUAUUCUCUACAAGGCUAUAAACCGUUUCUUUCCUCUUCCCUCCCCUUUUCCUUUGUUUUAUUUUCGUCUUUGUUUCUCUUUAUUGUUUUUUACUUUUUUUUUCGUUCACUCCUGUCGCUUUUAUUUCGUGUGUGCGUGUGUGAGUGUGUGUGCUGCUUAGCCGUCCUCUCUCUCCCCACCGUCACCCCCACCCUCUCGCUUUUCUAUCACGCUUUCGUCAACAAAAGCAUCGUCUCUCAUCUUUUUGUCCCCCCCCCUCCCACCCCGCGCACCGCUUUUGUGCUUUUUUUGUUUAUUUCGUCUUCUCUGUUCUCUGCACGACUGCGUAGGGGCUUCGUAUGUAAACGUGCACAUGAUUUGGUCCUCCCUCGCUCUCGCAUUUUUCUCUAUUGAUUAUUGCUUCCGUUACUCUGUGUUUGUGUGGUCUUGGUUGUUUGGUUCCUCUUCGUUUUCUUUCGUGCUGUGCUGUGCGCUCUGCGCGUAAGAUUGCUCCCCGAACGUUUGCGUGUCUGUGUAUCUGAAGCUCACCUGUGUUGUUGAUUUUUUUCAUUCCCUUUUUUCCUCCCUCCUCCCUCCCCAGCCUCCUUUUAUUGCUUGUAGUAAUUUCUUUAGUGUUGGGGCUGCUGUCUUGUGCCUUGAUUUGUCUUCCGGUCGUGCUUUUCUUUUAUUUCUUCACCUCUCUCUCUGUCGACAAUUCGUCGUGCUGUAACCCUCCCCCCUCCCAAAAAAAAAAAAUAAAACUUUUCCGCAAAAAAAAAGAGUAACCUCUCCUCUUCCUCCUUUUCAAACUGUACUUUCCUCCUGUCUGUUUGCUCGUGUUUUGUAGCGGCCGCCACGUUGGUGUGGGGGUCGCACAUUAUCGGUACCUCCUAUCUUUUUUUUCUUUUCACUCCUUGUCGCUGAGCCCCUCCUCGUAGUGCUCUCUCAAGUUGGCGUCUCAUUACUUCUCUCGUUUUAUAGCUUGGCACCCCCUCUCUACUUCCACUCUCGCUCUCCUGCCUGUUCUGGGUUGUAGCUGCACUCGUUUCGUGGUAUAUUGAGUACAUAGGUGGUAUCGUUUCUCUCUGCCAUUGUUAUUCGGAGUUACAACCUCCAAGCAGCUUUCCCCUCUUCAUUAUCCGCCAUCCUCCCUCCCUCCUUCACACACACACACACAAACUCUUGUUUGCUUUUUAUUUUUCCGCCUUGUUUACAUCCACUCAGGACUUCAUUGCCUUCACCUGGCCCUCCGUCCCUUUUUUCCCGUUACUGGUACGCUUACCUGCCCUCUGCCUCUCCCUUCUCCUUCGUGCCAUUUCCGCUUUCAAUCAUUCAUAAUCGAAGGACGGAAGUGUAGGGGCAUGUCAUUUUGUGUGGGCUCAUAGUUUCUGAAGUUGCUCUUGCUAUCCAGACCUCCCUCGUGUGUGUGUGUGUGUUCUUCUUUUGCUUUCUUUUCUAUUCAGCCUGGCCGUCCUCCUCUCUCUCAUUCCAACCUCUCUUUCUCCGCAACCCCUUUUCCAUUACGUGUUACACGAGCGCCGAAAAGAAAGAGGCAGCUCAGCAGCGUGCACUUUCCCCUUAACUCGACAUUUCGGGCUGGCAGCGGUGUGCUGUGAAGGAAAAAAAAAGAACCCGACCAACAAGCUAUCAUCAUCCGCUUCCCUCCCUCCUCCAUCUUCGGGUCUUUCUUCUUUGCUCUUGCUGGUGUUGUUACGGCAUCGACGUGCUUCACCGGUUCAAACUGCUUUCCCUUUUUUGCCUCUCUCUUUUGUUCUUCCGACGCCCAGUGAUAGAGUUAGUCCAGUGCCGCGCACCGCCUCCUCGUCUCUCUCUGAUUGGGCACGCCGCGCAGACAUCUCUCCCUGUUCGCUGUGUCGUCGGAUUGUUUUCUUUUUCCUUUCGAGUGCCUGAAACGCAUCCCCUCCCCCAUCCCCUUCUUUCUCGCCUUCUCUGUUUCUCCCGCGCUCCUCUCUCCAGUGAUCAACUUCACUCCAUAUCCGUUUUUUUUGUGUGUCCUCCGCUGGCUUCCUUAGCAGCCCUUCGCCCUUAUCCGCCCUCUCCAGCGUGUGUGUGUGUGUGUCUGUGUGUGUCUGUGUUAAUACCUCCACGUCCGUUUCUCCCUACACCUCGAUUUGCACUCCUGCAGUACCCAUAUGUGCGCCGCAAUGUCGCUUGCUGAAGCCAGCACACCGCUGGUGAACGUCUACGCAAAACCGCAGGAGGUCGAGACGCGCAUCACUCCCAGCCGCUUCACCGUAUCGUACACCAGCCGCGCUCCCUCUUCUUGCUCGCCAAUGCCGGUAGUGCCGUCGUGCGCGCGGGAUGACAUGGCGCUCCAGAAGGAGAUGGUCGAGGCGCACAAGCAAGCGGAGCUGGCGGCCUUUAUUGCUAAGCACGAGAAGACAUGCGCCAUCUCCGAGGCGGACCGCCGCCGGAGCAUCAUCAUGCUCUUGAACACCGCCGCGCAGCGCGACAUUGACGAGGGCAGUCAUGCAGGCUACCCGCAGCAGGUGGUGGACUUCAUGCGUCAGACUUGGGCCGCUUUCAUUCAGCAGGCGAAAAACUUCUACCAAGAAGACGCAGACGAGCCAUUCAAGAUGGAGCUGAGCCGCAACGCCUUGGAGAACACCUCGUCUAUCGGCGUUUGGUUCACUGGUCCGCAGAUAUCGCUUCCGCUCCGCCGCUACACGGUUCAGGUGGUCGGCGCCGAUGGCGCGCCGCAGAACAUCACCGCUGUGGGUUUGCUGAGCUUCACAUACUCGACUUAUGUGAUGCACCUCCGCUCAAUGUCGCAGCAGAGCGCUCUGGAUGGGCUUGCCCGCAUGCAGGAGCAGCUCGGCACGGACUCACUCUUUCUCCCGCAAAUUCUCGUGGCCCCCUCGUAAACCCAAAGAGCAGCGAAACCCGCCGUCUACUCCUGCCUCUCUGAUUAGAACCACGGAAGAAGUCCGCGCAGACAAAACAAGACACCAGGUGCGAGUCGAGAUCCGUCCCUCUCUCUUUCCCCUCUGCAUGACGCUAUGGCUGGCAUCAGCUCCCUUCACUGGCGCCCGUGAGAACCGCACCAAAACGGUGGAGAGACGGUUGCCUAAAGGGCAGUGCACAUCGCCUAUGUGUGUGCGUGUGUCCGAGGAGGGAGGAGGGAUCUGUGUGUGAGCCUUCACUUCCAUGUGAAGGCGCAGCAUCCGCGAUCCCGCCCCACCACCUCACACCAGAUGAGCCCCUCUUCGAGACGAAAGAAAAAGAUCUCUGUGCAACUGGUUGUGCAUACGCAUGUGCCUAACUGUGAAGCCGACGUCGGCACCUCCACAACUCACUGCUUCUCUCGCCCAUUGAACUGGAUUGUGUGUGUGUGCGUGUUCAUCGCAAAAGACUUGUGCACACGCAAAUCCGGCGCAGGUUUUCUCUUUUCUUCCCCGCCUCGGUGCCCUCCUAACAUCUCCUGACUCUCGGGACACUUUUAUUUUCGGGUGCACUGCUGCUUCCUCUUACCUGACUUUCCCUCCUCGUCUUGGAGCAUAGGUGUGAGUUGUGCUCCGCCAUCCAUGCUCUGAGCCCUCUAUGUUUCCCCCUUCCCCUUGCCCCAGUGUUUGCCGGGACCGUCAAAAACAACAGACAUCUUUGCGUGAGUAUAGUUCUUUUCUGCCUGUGUGUGUGUGUGGCUCACGUUCUUCUUUCUAUUCUGGUCUGGGCACACGCCUAUGCACAGAAAGCCCAUCACCACCUUCUACAUAGGCACAGAGAGAGAGAGAGCAAAUGUUGUUUGCGUAUUUUUAUCAUCUGCUCUUCAGCUUUUCAGCCGGACUUGUCUUUUCAGCAUACGCACCAGUACGUUUAUGUGUGUGCCUGUUUUGCGUUUGCCUCCGUGCUUGUCUGCUUCAGCUCUCUCUCUCUUUUUCGUUUUGUACGGGCUAGUGCCUCUUUUGCGAGCUUGGCAUUCCGUGAGAGACAGGCAAGAUCACGCCGAAAGUCCUUUUUUUUCAGUUGUUUUGGUUGCCCCCUCUAUGCCUCCUUUCUCCUCCUCUCCGCCACCAUCGCCAUCACCUCAUCCUUCGAUACACACAAUGCUCUUACUCGUCACAUGUUUGUCUUGUCGAUCCUUUUCUCUUCAGCCAUGCGAGUGCGGAUGCGUAUAUGUUUCUCUAUGUGUGUGUGUGCUUGCGUGAUUUUUUUUCUGGGUUUGUUCUCACCCUCCCCCUUUUUGCUUUGUGCUGUUUUUUCCUGGAUGGCGUGGGUCGUUUUUUUCUCUCUCUACUGCCGUUUUGCUCGUUCGCUGGAUGCCUCUCCCUCUCGUUCGGUGUGUACUUCUCGUCGUCCCUCUUGGUCUAUCUUUUCGGAUGUCUUUGUGUGGUUCCCCUCCCUCCUGUCCUCUCUAUCCUGCCGCGUGUACGUUUCUCGACGGAAACAACAUGAGCACACGCAAGGGAGUGACGGAGGUGUGAGAGGGGCGGAAAAAAAAAACGAAGCGCGUUCUUUUUAUCAUCCCCCCUUCCUCCCCCUCUUCUCUCUCCUCUCUUUGCGUAGCGGAUCACCUUUUAUUCGUUUUCUUUUCCGUCGCUUCUCUCUUUGUGCUUGCUGAUUUUCGCUCUUCCAUGACCUCAGUGCCAGUGAUGCCCUACCAUGUGCACUGGCGUGAGGGAUUAUUUUGUUUGCUUUCUUUUCCUCGAACUCUUCUCACUGUAGAAGUGCCACAUGAAAAGACAAAAAAAAGAGAAAACAUGUAGACACGCCGGAAAACACGCACACGCAGAGCGGCAUGCCGAUUUCCUCGGCGCAUUUUCAUUUUCUUUCCAUGUGAAUCUGUACCAGUGCUCUUCAGCGUACCUGUGUGUGUGCGCGUAUCGAGUUUGUGCGUUUCCUCUCUUCUUUAUUUGCAUUUGUUGUUGUGUAUGUAUGUGUAUGUGUGUAUGUGUGCCGACGAAGAGAAAGCGAGUGUGAACGCACACGCACGCACGUAUAUGGGCAAGACACAGUGCGGACAUCAAUAAAAAGAAAAUACUGUGUCUUUUCAUGAAUUUUGUCUUCCCUCUCACGAGGCAGACAUCGCAGUCAAGCAAGGAAAGCGAAAAACAAGGCUGGGAGGACACUCAAAGACGCACACGUGUACACAGGGCUAACGAGCACUACCCUCAUUGCCAAGUUUAAGUCACACGUGGUUGCAUGGUACACGAAAACGAGCAGAACGAUCAAGGCGUACAGCGUUAUUGCUUGACAUGCGUAGUGUCCUCGAAACCUCAAGGAGGUUGGGUUGGGGGCGUCUCUUGCUUCGCUACUGCUGGUUUUCGAUUCUGUCUUCUGUGUUGGUGUUCUUAUCGGCAGCUCUGAAGUUUGCCAUAUGAUGAUUCUUUCUUUCUUUUUUGGCCUCGCGCGCUCUCUCCUUUCCUUUUUAUCACCAUCACUACUGCAACGAUCCCAUUGUCGGUUACGGGGGCCCCCAACUUUUCCCUCUCUUACCCGCGUUUUUAGUUGCUCCUCCUUUGGCAUUGGCCUUUGCAUGUUCCCUCCCACAACGCUUGUUUGUUUAUCAUUUCUUCAUUGUAAGCGUAUGCUUUUUUCACCCCUCCCCUUCCCGCCCUUCGAAAAUGUUUUCUUUCUGUCUUUGCUGCUUCUCCCCUCGAUACUCUCCAAUGCGCUAGCGAGCAUGUUCUUCUCUCCCCACCCACUCCCACAUACGCUCUCUGGCAUCCUUCUCUGCUCACGGGUGCGUGUUUUCUCUUCUUUGACUCACGCAUAUUUAUGUAUGUGUGUGUGUGUGUCUUGGACUCACGUUCGUACUGGUCUGUAUUUUUUUCUUCGUUUGGUUUCUAGAUCUCACGUUGCCAUCAAAAAUGGCUUGCUGUGUACCCCCCCCCUCCUCCUCCUUCGACGCCUCUCCUCUCUCUUACUUUCCUCAUUAUACUUUUUGUCUGUGCCCCCUCUCCCCGUCCCUUUUCAUUUAUGUGUGGUGUGUGCUUGUAUGAGGAAGGGGGUCUCUCUCUUUCUCCCCGUGUGGAAGUUGUAUGCGUGUGCAUGUAUUCAGUUUUCGAGGGGGUGCACGUGCGCUUAAUUGCUUGACCGUUUCAACAUUUAUGUGCUGUCUGUCUGUCUGGCACAACCUGCGUGGCUUUCCUUUUUGGUCUAUUUUUUUUUCUUGCCUUUACGUUCAGUGGGUUGACCUCAUCUCUGCUUGCUUUUAUGCUCAAUGCGCCUGCUCGCUCUUAGCAACAAUUUCAGAAUAUCUUUUCUACUCUCGCUUCUUUGUUUGGGAUGGCGUACACCGAGCCCUACCCCUGUCACCGUUACCCUAGCUCUUCCCUUUCGUUUUUUUUUUCGCCUCGCAUAUUAUCAUCAUCAUUUUUUCUCUGUGUUGUUCUUCUCUUCUGUGUGUGUGUAAGAGGGGGGAUGGCCGCGUAUGGGUUGCCUGCUGCUGCUGUCUUGGUUUCUUUUCCCUCUUCGUUUGCGAUAAGAAAAAGACUGGAAAGUACAGACAGAAAUCGAGAGGGCGAGGAAGAGAUACCCGGUACGGCGCAAGAAUAGCAAGAGAGCGCUUCACAAUGGAAGCAGACCUGCAUCGCCCCAUUCGAAUCACCACCACCAGCAGCAGCACUCUUCAUUGGGGACGGUAGAAACCACAUGGCACGUUGGCAUCAACAAUUCUCUUUUUCUUGUAGCAAUCACAAAGGAGUCGCCACACCAGCAGGGAUGGUGAGCACAUGCCCUCUACAGUGACCUUUCUCCCCUCUCUUUUCCCCCUCGCGCCUUUUACGUGCGCGCUUGUUUGUGUUUUCUGUUUACCAAUCCUCCCCUCCCCCCCCCGAACUCUCGUCAUCGAUUUCGGACGCAUGGCUUGCCUGUCGCGCGCACCUGCUAUUAUUCUCGAGGAGGCCGGCCCGCGCGCUCUUGUCCACCACGCCGUCACUCACUGCUCCCACGCACCAGUCGCUCUGUCCCUCUGUUCCCCUCUCUUUGCCCUCCCCUUAACUACUUCACUCUUUCCUCGUCGCGUCUUCUUUCUGUCGCCGUUGCUGUCUCGGUGGACGGCGCUCGAGCGGAGUUGUCCACGACGCCCGAAGCAUGAGCCCGCGGCAACGAGCACCACACGUAAGACGGGGGAAAGUCAAAGAUGACGGGGCGUUGCCCCCAGAGGACAACGUGAGUACGGCAAAGGAAAUCGGUGCGAGGUGGUAUGAGGAAGACGCGACCGCGCCCGCGCCGACGCGUGCGGGAGUUUUGAUUCCCGAUCGAUUGGUUCUCUGUGUCUCUCUGUCCAUCGGCCGCCUUCGGGGCAUCACUCGCCGCCUUCUUCUAUCCCCUUUUUUCACUGUUUCUUCAUGCUCUGCUUUUGUGCCUGGUUGUCGGCGCGUUUUCUUUUGGUCCAGCGGAUGUCUCUCAUACCAGCCUUCCCUCUACGUUUUUUCCUUCCCCAUCCUUCUCAUAUGCGUUCUAGACAGUCACCAAUGCCUGAUAUUAUGCAUAGAUACGCGCAUGUGAGUCGCGGAGCGGAUCGCGGCGCGUAUGCGUAAGGGUAUGUCCUUCGCGUGACGCAGCAGAGGCAGCCUCGCCACCUACAAGAAAGCAGUGGUAUUUUUUUUUUUCGCACCUUUUUUUGUUUUCUUUCUGUGCGUCUGUAAUCGGUCGGGUGCAGAUGGUGCGUGUGGGCCCGGGUGUUAGACGGUAGAGAGGGAGAGACAGAAAGAAGGCCCGUUCCUGUGUGUGUCUCGUGUGAAUGAGGGUGCACCCCCUUCGCAUUCCUUCUCUCUCUUCUCAUCCUGUUACUUCUCUCUACAAAAACACGCCUCGCAUCCCUCGGCAUAGCAGACUAGCCUUUUUUUUUUGUUUUUUUUUUUUGGGGGGAGGGGGGUUAUCGGCGCAGCAUUCUCAGCAGCUCUCAAGUUACUCGCCCCGCCCCCACCCACCCACACACACACACACACUUUGUGUGGGUUUUUGUCAACACAGCAGCAAGGCAACGCAAUCAUGGGCACACGUUGAAAAGGACGUCGUGCUUGCCUCGGCUGGUGCUGCCGACUUGAUUUCGUUUUCUCUUUUUCGUUUUCGACUUUGUGCGCGCCCUUGAUAAGCCGCUUCUUUGCCAGUAUCUUAGCUAAUAUCGAACUUCAAGAGUCAAUCUAUUUUCUCACUUCGCCUCUCCGCUCGUUCCACCGUUUUGAUUCUCGCCCCCAUCACACACACACACACACUUCUAACCCUCGCCUCCCUUUUUUUCCCGUUGUUACUGAGACGCUUCCCAUGCAUGCAGUGAAGUGGGUCUUCCACUCAUGUAAGAAGUGUCUCCUCCCAUCACUCCCUUCCUACCUCUCUCUCUUCCACGUUUCUGUGUCCCUUCGAUUUCUGCUCCGCAACUCUCCCUCUCCUUUUUCUUCUCAGCCACACAUUGUUCACACAACAAGCAGGAGAGAGUAAGUUCUUGAAGGGAAAAAGAGUAAAAGCGAGCGAGUCUCUCCAUCUUGGCGUUCCCGCCCACCCCACCCCUCUCUCUCCUUCUCUCGGACAUGCACACACUCUACAACAUGUGCAAUCUGAGAUAAGGCGCGCUGCGCUGCAUUCCUUCCCCGUCACCGCCUCUCUUUUUUCCCUUCUCUCUCACACAAGGGAGGGAGGAACUGGCAGGGAAAGGUGAAGUGGGGAAGUACCAGUGUGUGAAGGGGGCGCAGACGAAGAAUACAAUAUUCAGCUGAGGUCUAAGUAUGCCGGACACUUCCUGCUUUGAUGCGUACUUGUUCGUGAAAAUGUGUAUGGCGGGUUUCUUUGCAGGACCUAAAAUCUGCAACGAUAAGGCUGGCUGCGAUUCAUCGUUGGCUCUGCCCUCUCUGUAUACAUUACAGCACAGGUGUAUCUAAGAAAGGUGAGUGAUCACGAAUCUCACUUCUCUUUUCCUCCCUCAACUCCUCUCCCCGCCGCUGGUAAGUGAGAUCAGCUCCAUCCCCACUGAACAAAAGGAAAACGCUGGUCUUGGAGGGGUAGCGUCGAGAGAGAGUUGUUUUUUUUUUUCGUUUCUUCCGUUUUGGGGUCUCGCACACCGAAGUCACGAAGCUUUAGGAACUUACUUCUGUUUCCCUCUGUCGGCAACAGUAUCCUGCCCUCUGGCACGAGGGUCUCCGUUACUUCUUUGUGGGGAAAAGGAGGUCAACCUGUUCUACGACCUUGUCUGUGGGCUCAAAUCAGUCUCGCCCUGCGACCAGCAGCCCCCAUCAUGUAAGUCAACGCGUGAGACAUGAUGGAUAAGGAAGGGUGGGCCCUGUGUUUGCAUAGAAGUCAUCAAAAUGAUAAUUAGCAAUUCGGUAAGAGUGGCAUACACAAAUCCGUUUGGCCUACUGGGCGCUGUCCAACACGCUUGUGAUAUCGCCCACAUCGGGUUAGAACCAUGGGAUGGAGCCCUGCAGCUCCACAAGCCCCCCUCCCUCCCUCAUCUCUUCUCUCCACUCUCAUGCUCGUGAAGGCAGGGGAAUCUUUAUCUUUCCGUUUGCUUUUGCGUCUCUCUCUCACUGCGUGGUGGUCACACUUGUUUCGGCGUUGUCUUCUUUCCCCUCUCACCACCACACCCCACCCCUUUCGUGUUUCUUCUCAGAAAGUCCGUUUUUUUUUUGUAUGUGUAUGUGUUGUGCGCCGGGGGGUGCGUGCGUGUGUGCGUGCUUCUGACGGGGCGAAGGAACUGUGAGAGAGGGACUGAGCGAUGCGGAAAUGAAGCGGGGAGAAGCAGCACGUCGGACAUGUGGAAAAAAUAUAAGCUGGAGGACAUUGUAGUGCAGAGAGAAGGGUAUGUGUGUCGCUCUCUGUUUGUGUGUAGGCUUGCAUGUGUGUGAGCUUGUGUCCAUGCACGCGUCAACUUGUGUACAGCUACUCGAAAUCAGCAGCAAGUGGUCGUGCGCAGUACUCCUUCCCCGCUGCUUUCACUGAUGUAGGCUCGCCACUGUUCUUGUUUUUUUUUCUUCUCUUUGUGUGCUCUUUUCUUUGUUUUGACGUGUUAGCGCUCGCCUUCGUUUUUUUUUUCACGACGCUUGUCUUGAGCGUCGCUCUCCUCUCUUCCCUGCUUCGCUCUUCGUUCCCUCUCUUUUCGCUGGCCUACAACCAGCGGAGGGGCAGCAACUAAGCUGCAGUCUGCGCUACGCGCCCUGCUCCCCCGGCCUCACGCUUCCCUAAUCCGUGACGCCGACAUCUCAAUAAGGAAAUCGCACCAAGGAUGGCGACGAAACACAGCAGAGAACCGAAACGCGAUACGGCGGGCAUCUCUGUCGCGAGUCUCUCUUUACUUCUCGCUCAUGUUGUGAUGGCUAGUCGUCUUCGGGUUUCCCUCUGUCGUCUUCGCCUUUCAUGUGAUUCGUUUUGGGAAUUCCCCUUAUCCCCCAUGGAACCUCCGAGGGAGUACUGCGUCUUUGUCGGUGCCGUGUGACGCUUGUUGCUGAUCUUCCUCCACGCUCCUCUUCACUUCCGUGUGUGUGUGUGCGUGUGCGUCUCUCUCUUCCUCUCUCAUAGUCUCUCCACUUUCCGAAGAUUUGGAGCUGUGCGCACGCCAUUCAUAUGUCGUUCUGUGUGUUUGUGUGUGUGUGUGUCUUUCUUAGAGUGUUUCCAUCUGCCUCUAUCACUGCUGCUCUUGUCUACUCCCUGCGCCCUUGCACUCGUCCCCGUAUCUCUCCCAGCAGCCCUUCCUUGAAAUUAGCCACAUGUUCGGCAAUGGAAAGACACUAGUUGAUGCCCCCUCCCCUCUCUCCCUCUUUUUUCUGCUUGCUCGCCUCAUUGUCGCUUGUCCAUUUUUUUCACUCGCUCGAUGUGUUGCCCCGCACGCACGCACGCACAUCAGCGUGUGGCUCCUCUCUUUCGUUUUCUCUUUACGGCCAGUGCUUGUGAGAUUGCUCUUGCGCGCUCUCUCUCUCUGCCUUUUAUGCUUCCCAUCUUCUCUUCCCCGUUCCAGAUUUUUUUUUCGCUGCUCUUCGUGUUGGUUUCUUCCCGCGCGGACGGAAGCGAGUCUCAUAAUGAAGGUGAUGAUGAUUGCGUUCGCCUCUUCCGCACCCUCCUCGACCUUUUCCCUCCCCCCUCCCUUUCUCCGUCUCUCUUCCUACGAUUUGUCAGUGUUCGUGCUAACCUUUUUUUCUACGUAUUUGUGUGCUUGCCUUUGUACUACGUAAGCGUAAUUGUGUGUGCGUCUCUUUUUUCUUGCGCUCAUUUUCUCCUUCCGCGCUCGUUGCCAUUCUCCCCCUCUCCCUCUCCCGCCCAUCGAGGAAGGGUGACAACUGGCCUUCGUACACACACACACACACACAUCUAGCCACCUAAUGUGCUUUUCGUCUCUCAAUUAUUCUGUCUUUCUUCUCUUCUUCCUGCCACCCCCCCCACCCUCUCUCUACUCCAAG